rnacentral:rRNA from 1 species
CCUACGGGAGGCAGCAGUGGGGAAUCUUGCGCAAUGGGCGAAAGCCUGACGCAGCAACGCCGCGUGCGGGAAGAAGGCCCUAGGGUUGUAAACCGCUUUCAGUAGGAACGAAAAUGACGGUACCUGCAGAAGAAGGUGCGGCCAACUACGUGCCAGCAGCCGCGGUGACACGUAGGCACCAAGCGUUGUCCGGAUUUAUUGGGCGUAAAGAGCUCGUAGGCGGUUCAGUAAGUCGGGUGUGAAAACUCUGGGCUUAACCCAGAGCCGCCACUCGAUACUGCUGUGACUUGAGUUCGGUAGGGGAGCAGGGAAUUCCUAGUGUAGCGGUGAAAUGCGCAGAUAUUAGGAGGAACACCGGUGGCGAAGGCGCUGCUCUGGGCCGAUACUGACGCUGAGGAGCGAAAGCGUGGGUAGCAAACAGGAUUAGAUACCCUGGUAGUCCACGCCGUAAACGUUGGGCACUAGGUGUGGGUUCCAACCAACGGAAUCCGCGCCGUCGCUAACGCAUUAAGUGCCCGCCUGGGGAGUACGGCGGCAACGCUAAACUCAAAGGAAUUGACGGCUGGAGAGUUGCGAGACGACGACGAGGGAGAGG